rnacentral:rRNA from 1 species
UACGAAGGGUGCAAGCGUUAAUCGGAAUUACUGGGCGUAAAGCGCGCGUAGGUGGUUCAGCAAGUUGGAUGUGAAAGCCCCGGGCUCAACCUGGGAACUGCAUCCAAAACUACUGGGCUAGAGUAUGGUAGAGGGUGGUGGAAUUUCCUGUGUAGCGGUGAAAUGCGUAGAUAUAGGAAGGAACACCAGUGGCGAAGGCGACCACCUGGACUAAUACUGACACUGAGGUGCGAAAGCGUGGGGAGCAAAACAGG